CUACGGGGUGCAGCAGUAAGGAAUAUUGGGCAAUGGACGCAAGUCUGACCCAGCCAUGCCGCGUGCAGGAUGACAGCCCUACGGGUUGUAAACUGCUUUUGUACGGGAAAAAUUCCCUGGUCGUGUACCGGGGUUGAUGGUACCGUAAGAAUAAGCAUCGGCUAACUCCGUGCCAGCAGCCGCGGUAAUACGGAGGAUGCAAGCGUUAUCCGGAUUUAUUGGGUUUAAAGGGUGCGCAGGCGGAAUGAUAAGUCAGUGGUGAAAUCCUACAGCUUAACUGUAGAACUGCCAUUGAUACUGUUGUUCUUGAGUACAUUUGUAGUGGGCGGAAUGUGUCAUGUAGCGGUGAAAUGCUUAGAGAUGACACAGAACACCGAUCGCGAAGGCAGCUCACUAAACUGUAACUGACGCUCAGGCACGAAAGCGUGGGGAUCAAACAGGAUUAGAUACCCUUGUAGUC
rnacentral:rRNA from 1 species